AAGUGCAAUGAAAGGCAAAAGUGAGUGGCAUUGCCAGUUACAUGAGCUGUUGUAGCUAUAGCUGGGACUGGAUAAAUCUCAAGAUAAAAAAAGAAAAAGGUUGUGGGUUUGAUUUUGUAUGCAUUAAUAUGAUGCAAUUAAAGCUUUUUCCUUUUAUAGGAGGGUCUCCGGGGGGCGGGGGGAGGAGAGUGAUCCAUUGGUUAAACAGGAAACCCUAACUCUGCCUUAUCUUAAAAUGGUUUCCCAGAUCUGUAUUUGAAGGAGCAAGAUAUAAUGAGGGUUGGUUGGUUUCUACGGUCUCAAUGGUAAUUUAGCAAAUGAUGGUAAGGAAUGGAUGAUGUCUUGUGUUGAAGAAGAAGAAGAAGAAGAAGAAGAAGAAGAAGAGGGCCAAUGAGAAAAAAGAGAGAUUGACAGAAGAGAGUGAGCACUCACAGGCAAUUGUAUGCAAAAGGCAUACCUUUAUCCGUGGUUGCUUACUUCUCUUCUGUCGGCUAUUUUAUUCUUCUUCAUCAUUAUCUUCUUCUUCUUCUUCUUCUUCUUCUUCUUCUUCUUCCUGCAUGUCAAUUAUCAAAGACCCUUUCGUUUGUUUUUGAUAUGUGUCGGGUUAUAAUAAUAUCGAUAAACUGUACUAUUAUUUUCCUCUGCCUUUUAGUAUUCCAAUUUCGAGUGUGUGUUUUUUUCUUGGGAAUAUUUAAAAUAACGAGAAGAAGUCCUUCAAUGGAAGCUUUGAAGUAAAGCGUGACUUUUUAUGGUCCUUUCUGUUUGAAGAGAGGACGAAAAAUGCUACUUAGAACAUAUAGUACGCCUACGUACUGUUCUUGUUUUUAACGAAAAACCAGGGAUGUAAAUAGCGGUCGAUCGGGUAGCGGAAUAGCGGCCGCAAUAUAGCCGUACUGGCGCCCUCCAAAACCGCUGCUGCUGAAAAUAGCGGUGUGAAGCGGAGUCACACCAGUAGCGGUGGACCGCGGCCGCAAUUUUAACGGUUAACGGCCAAUUGCGGCAAUAACGGGCCGCUAUUCCCGUUGAUAUCUAUUUUUUUACUUUGUUAUUAGUUAUUAGUUGUGUGAAUUUUAAAAAAAUUCACGAACGCAAUUUAAAUCCCUGCGAAAAACAUAACCGGUAUCUUCGUAUUUUUAUUCAUUUUCCCUUUAUUUAAAACUCCUCUUCCUAUAUAUUCAUGCUUUCUUGGAGGCGGCCAUGCAAGAAUCAUGGAAGGAGAAGGAAAUCUCCGAUAUGAAUUUGAGUAACUCAAAACUCUCAUGGAAGCAUCUCAGUUGUCCAUCCUCAACUUGAAGGAACGCGAAGUUAAUGCCGGAAUUUGCAUGCUGCAACAUCACUACUGAAAAACAGGCAAGAUAAAAAUAAACCCGACAUGGGUAAGGCAUUUGAUCAUGUCUCGUUUGUUCUGCGGAUGGAAACGAGAAUGAACAUGUCGACCCUUGGAGUAAGUUUACAAAGGCUGUUGGAAUAGCAACCUGAAUUAUUAGGAGAAGAAGAUGAAGGUAGUAUAAGAUUGUAGAUUGGAGUAAAUUACAGAGAGUAAUUGUAAUUAAAUAAUGUCCUUGCUUCAAUUCACAUGAAUAAAUGUGUCUCAAGCCACUAUAUAUUGGUUUUUUAAAAUAAAAUUAGGAAGAAUUUCUCGGCUUUGAACCCCAUGUAAUGCCUGGUUAGGGUGUUUAUCGUCCCAACUGUGGUCUGGGUUUGAGUCACACUAGUUAUAUUUAUUA